CCGAAUUUCCCCGAGUUCAGUUUGCUCACGUGGAGUCCCAGCCUGUAGCUGAAGAGAAAUCUUCCCGUGACUCCAGCCCACUUCUCGAUUCAGUUUAUGAAGAAAGAAAGGAUUCUUUCCAAAGCUGUGGGAUGUGGGACUGAUUCAGACUGUCCACAGACUAUUUGCCUCAUGUGGGAUCUGAGAGGAGAUCUUUGCAGAUAGUUUAAAUCUGAAGACUCUGGAGAGAGAAUGCCAGAGCCCAGAGAUUGUGGCAGAGCUCCGAGAAAGACCAAGGCUGCUGCUGCUCCCUGUGGCUCCUGGUUGCUGUGAAUGCAGUGAGACAAGAAGUUGGAGAUUUCCUAAAAUGAGGAUUGGACUGGCUCCAAGGAACCUGAUGACCCUAACCAGCACAAAGCACUGCCCCACGAGUUUCCCAGGACCACCUCUGAAACUGGUUUGAAUGAGAAUGUCUGCGUAGGUGCAGAUAGGUCGCUGCGUGGGAGGCUUACAGUGCUGCCUCACUUCCUGUUCUGUUUCACACUCCUGCCACCUGCCACCAUACCCACCACCACAAUGAUGGACUCCACACUCUAGAACCAAGAGCCACCUGCCACCAUACCCGCUGUCGGGAACCUUGAUCUGGCAGCUGCUUUGAUAUUAAAAUCUCAGCAGAAAGACUGCUUUUACCAGGCCUUCACUGAAGUCAGGGAAGAAUUUGCAAGUCCAUCUCCUUUUGUUUAUGACAGCAGGUGGGAUAGCUUGUGAAGAUCACACCUCUUGCUUCAACUCCUUGUGAAUUUAGCCCAUUGUUCUGAGCUGUUUUUACUCUGGCUUAAAAGCUUGCAGCAAUAAAAAAGUCAGGCUGCCUGCUACGGUGGCUGUCGACUCUGGAGCCUCUUUAAAAAGUCUCCUGUGUGUUGUGUGCUAGUUUAUUAAUUUUAAUCCUCACUCCCAACUCAAGAACCAUUCAGCUCUGCUGGCGGGCUCCGGCAACCCACCACCACAAUGAUGGACUCCACGCUCUAGAACCGAGAGCCAAAAGAGACUUCCCACGAUACCCACACCACAAUGACGGACUUGGCGCUCUAGAACCGAGAGCCAAAAGAGACUUCCUUAAUCAGCUGCCUCGGCUGUGGCAUUUUGCCGUAGCAGCAGAAAAGUGGCUAAUGCUGCCUCCCAUCUUGCACCGGGAGAACAGGUG